GACGAACGCUGGCGGCGUGCUUAACACAUGCAAGUGGAGCGACGAACCAGGCUUCGGCCUGGGGCAGAGCCGCGAACGGGUGAGUAACACGUGGGUAACCUGCCUCGAUGACCGGGACAACCCGGGGAAACCCGGGCUAAUACCGGAUGUGCUGCCUUCACAUCAGUGGAGACAGGAAAGGAGCUUCGGCCUCCGCAUCGAGAUGGGCCCGCGGCCCAUUAGCUUGUUGGUGAGGAAUGGCUCACCAAGGCCGCGAUGGGUAGCUGGUCUGAGAGGACGAUCAGCCACACUGGGACUGAGACACGGCCCAGACUCCUACGGGAGGCAGCAGUGGGGAAUCUUGCGCAAUGCGCGAAAGCGUGACGCAGCAACGCCGCGUGGGGGAAGAAGGCC
rnacentral:rRNA from 1 species